rnacentral:rRNA from 1 species
GGGUAGCGGAACACGUACGCAACCUUCCUUUAACUGGAGGAUAGCCCCUCGAAAGAGGGAUUAAUACUCCGUAACAUAAUGAAGUGGCAUCACUUUAUUAUUAUAGCUCCGGCGGUUAAAGAUGGGCGUGCGCCUGAUUAGAUAGUUGGCGGGGUAACGGCCCACCAAGUCUGCGAUCAGUAACUGGUGUGAGAGCACGACCAGUCACACGGGCACUGAGACACGGGCCCG